AGCGGCGGACGGGUGAGUAAUGCUUAGGAAUCUGCCAUUUAGUGGGGGACAACAUUCCGAAAGGGAUGCUAAUACCGCAUACGUCCUACGGGAGAAAGCAGGGGAUCUUCGGACCUUGCGCUAAAUGAUGAGCCUAAGUCGGAUUAGCUAGUUGGUGGGGUAAAGGCCUACCAAGGCGACGAUCUGUAGCGGGUCUGAGAGGAUGAUCCGCCACACUGGGACUGAGACACGGCCCAGACUCCUACGGGAGGCAGCAGUGGGGAAUAUUGGACAAUGGGCGGAAGCCUGAUCCAGCCAUGCCGCGUGUGUGAAGAAGGCCUUUUGGUUGUAAAGCACUUUAAGCGAGGAGGAGGCUACCUAGAUUAAUACUCUGGGAUAGUGGACGUUACUCGCAGAAUAAGCACCGGCUAACUCUGUGCCAGCAGCCGCGGUAAUACAGAGGGUGCGAGCGUUAAUCGGAUUUACUGGGCGUAAAGCGUGCGUAGGCGGCUGAUUAAGUCGGAUGUGAAAUCCCUGAGCUUAACUUAGGAAUUGCAUUCGAUACUGGUCAGCUAGAGUAUGGGAGAGGAUGGUAGAAUUCCAGGUGUAGCGGUGAAAUGCGUAGAGAUCUGGAGGAAUACCGAUGGCGAAGGCAGCCAUCUGGCCUAAUACUGACGCUGAGGUACGAAAGCAUGGGGAGCAAACAGGAUUAGAUACCCUGGUAGUCCAUGCCGUAAACGAUGUCUACUAGC
rnacentral:rRNA from 1 species